GUUUUAUGUUGUUCUUCUUAUGUUGCAAUGGCCCAAAAGCAAGAGACCUUCUGGAAAAAUUGUGCUUUGAAGACGGAGCUUUGGUCUUCUUCCAAAGAGGUCUGUGCUAAGGCAGACUGCCUGAUUUCUUGAAGCCAGCCCCAUUUUCUUAUUUCUGUAUAAAGUAUGCACUUCCUACUUUGCAAGCUUGUGGAGAAGAGGGAACCAGAGAUCAUUUCUAAGGAAGUCAGUAUUUCCGGUACUACUUGUGAGCUGAAGGCUGUGAUUGGUUAUGAGGCAAGGAGAGAAUUUUAACCACAAUUGACCCAUCAUACUUUAAUGCUGGAGACUUUAAUUCAGCCCAUGAUCUUUGAGGUACUUCGAAAAACCUAUGGCCCUGCUGCUUCAGGGCUGUAACCAGCCACCUGGGAUCAGAGCCUUUCAGAGGAGCACGGAGCUCACUCGGAAGAAGGAUGAUGCCGGGCAGCUGUGCCCAAGCAAGUGACCAAGGAAGGAGGAUUCAGCCCACAGAUUGCAAAGCUCCUCUGCUUCCCAGCAUCGAGGUGACAGAAAAGAUCCCCAAAUCUCCAUUCGUCAUGGCCAUCAUGGGCACCACUGCCCAUAACAGAUCCUAGAGGGAGGGAGGAAAGGGAGGGAGACCAGGAGUCGGGGAAGCAUUGAGGAAGACAGGAAAAGACGAGAGCAGGAAGGAGAGGGAGUGGGUGGGAGAGAGAGGGAGCAAAGAGGGAAGCAGCUGCUCGGCCUCUGAAGCAAUGCACAGGUGGUAGGAAUUGCAUGCCAAGGCCCUGAGUCCCUAGGCAAAGGCCCGAGUCUUAACCUAGCGAAGGAGAACCCCCAGGAGGCAGUGGGUGUUACACAGCACGGUUAGGGUUCAGCACCCGCCUCACUCAUUCCCUCAUAUAUUCAGAGUGUGCUCCGUCAUCACAGAAAAAAUUGAAUGAAAAAUAUUGCCCCUGGGAAAUAAGAAAGCUAGCAACCUGGUACCAAAAGUUUCUUGUCAUGACCUCAAGUCUGCAGGUGAUUAUUUGUGAAGGCGUUUCUAAUAUCCUGUAUCUCACUUGCUCAGGGUGAGUUUAAAACUUAAAGAGCAAAGCCAGGCGUGGUGGCGCACUCCUGGAAUCCCAGCACUUGGGAGGCUGAGACAGGAAGAUUGACAUGAGUUCCAGGCCAGCCUAGGCUACAGAAGCCAGUUCAAGGCCAGCCUGCGCUACUCAGUAAGCCACUGUCUCAAAAAUAAACAAAUGAAUAAAAAUAAAACUUAAAUAGCA